UAACACAUGCAAGUCGAGCGGUAACAGGGGAAGCUUGCUUCCCGCUGACGAGCGGCGGACGGGUGAGUAAUGCUUAGGAAUCUGCCCAGUAGUGGGGGAUAGCCCGGGGAAACCCGGAUUAAUACCGCAUACGUCCUACGGGAGAAAGCAGGGGAUCUUCGGACCUUGCGCUAUUGGAUGAGCCUAAGUCGGAUUAGCUAGUUGGUGUGGUAAAGGCCUACCAAGGCGACGAUCCGUAGCUGGUCUGAGAGGAUGAUCAGCCACAUCGGGACUGAGACACGGCCCGAACUCCUACGGGAGGCAGCAGUGGGGAAUAUUGGACAAUGGGGGCAACCCUGAUCCAGCCAUGCCGCGUGGGUGAUGAAGGCUUUCGGGUUGUAAAGCACUUUCAGUAGGGAGGACACCCAUUAUGGCUAAUACCAAAAAGGCUUGA
rnacentral:rRNA from 1 species